rnacentral:rRNA from 1 species
ACUCUAUACGAUGGAUAUCUUGGCUCUUGAAUCGAUGAAGAACGCAGCGAAAUGCGAUAAGUAAUGCGAAUUGCAGAACUCUGUGAGUCAUCAAAUCUUUGAACGCAUAUUGCACUUCCUUUUGGGAGUAUACUUGUUUGAGUGUAGUUAAAGGUUUCUAUCUAUAAUAGAUGAAUAUUGGAGUUAGUAUACUAUACUUUCUCUAAAAUGAAUAUAUUCGUAUAUAAGAAUAGUAUUUGAGGUAGUUGCCACAAGUACUAUAUUAUAUAAGAAUAUAUUUAAUAAGAUCUAUCUCAAAUCAAGUAAGAUUACCUGCUGAAUUGAAGCAUCUAAGUAAGCAGAGGAAAAGAAAAUAACAAUGAUUCUCUUAGUAACGGCGAGUGAAUAGGGAAUAGCCCAAGCUUAAAUCAGCUUUGCUGAGUUGUAGUGUGUAGAAUCUAACUUUUGUUCAGUGUUAAUAUCAUAUAAUUUGGUUGGAAAACCAAGUAAUAGAAGGUGAUAACCCUGUAAUAUGAUAUGACUGAAUGUUGGAUUCUUGGAGUCGAGUUGUUUGGGAAUGCAACUCGAAGUGGGUGGUGAACUCCAUCUAAGGCUAAAUAUGUUCAAGAGACCGAUAGUGAACAAGUACCGUGAGGGAAAGAUGAAAAGAACUUUGAGAAAAGAGUGAAAUAGUACUUGAAAUCGUAUAGAGGUUAAGCAGAGUUGGUGGAUAUUGUAUUUGAAUGUACUAUAAUCAAUUGAUUAUGGCUUAUUCUUAUACAUAGUAUAAUUUGUGUGUGAAUUGGUUAAUAUUAAAACGAAUAUGCGCAUAAAUGAUAUAAAUCCUACAUCUCUGUCCCGUCUUGAAACACGGACCAAGGAGUCUAUCCUGUAUGCAAGUUGUAUGGUGUAAAACCAAUAAGCGUAAUGAAAGUAAGAGGUGUGAAAGUUGUAAAAGUGUCAACACCUGCCGAUCUAAAUUCUUUGAUGAAAGAUUCGAGUAUGAGCAUAUAGGGUGGGACCCGAAAGAUGGUGAACUAUGCCUGAAUAGGACGAAGCCAGGGGAAACUCUGGUGGAGGUUCGAGUGGAUUCUAACGUGCAAAUUGAUCUUUAAAUUUGGGUAUAGGGGCGAAAGACUAAUCGAACCAUCUAGUAGCUGGUUCAUUCCGAAAUUUCCCUCAGGAUAGCUGCAACUUAUGAAAUAGUUUUAUGAGGUAAAGCGAAUGAUUAGAGGUUUCUGGGAUGGAAUAUCCUGGACCUAUUCUCAAACUUUCAAUGGGUAAGAAAAGUGUGAUGUUUAAUUAAUCAUACUAUUUGAAUAUGAGUUGCAAGUGGGCCAUUCCGGGUAAGCUGGACUGGCAAUGCGGGAUCAACCGAACGCUAUGUUACGGCGCCAGAUUGUUCGCUCAGUUGGAUGUAAAAGGUGUUAGUUCAUCUAGACAGCAGGACGGUGGCCAUGGAAGUCGGAAUCCGCUAAGGAGUGUGUAACAACUCACCUGCCGAAUGAAGUAGCCCUGAAAAUGGAUGGCGCUUAAGCGAACAGCCUAUACAUAGCCAUUAUUGUUAGGAUUAUACAAUAAUGAGUAGGAAUGCGUGAUGAAUGUUGUGAAGUAUGAUGUGUGAACAUGUAUGGAACAUUCAUUAGUGCAGAUCUUGGUGGAAGUAGCAAAUAUUCAAAUGAGAUCUUUGAAGACUGAAGUGGAGAAAGGUUCCAUAGGAAUAGUGAUUAUCUAUGGGUUAGUCGAUCCUAAGAGAUAGGUGAAAUCCAUUGAAAAGUCAAUUUCGAUUGACAUUUAUCGAAAGGGAAUCAGGUUAAUAUUCCUGAACCAAAGAGAAGGGUAAACGGUAACGUAUAGGGGUCUCAAGACAUUGAUGUUAUUCCCAGGAAGAGUUUUCUUUUCUUGUUAACAAAUGGGCAGUGCUUGGAAUCGAUUCAGUCGGCGAUAAGCAUUGUUAUUUGGUAAAGUACUACUAUUUUGUGUAGUAUCUGGUGCAAUGACAUGAAUCCUUGAAAAUUGAGACUUUUGUUUUCCCGAAGCUUUGGUCGUACUAAUAACCGCAUCAGGUCUCCAAGGUGAAUAGCCUCUAGUUAAUAGAAUAAUGUAGAUAAGGGAAGUCGGCAAAUUAGAUCCGUAACUUCGGGAUAAGGAUUGGCUCUGAGGGCUAAGUGGGUUUAAGGUGUUAAUAGUAUAAGUUUGAUAUGGGAUUGAGUGUUUUGAGUUGCUUCGGUGAUUUGAAAUAUUUGGUUCUAAUGUCUUAGUUGUCUAUUUUCAUCUACCACUAUGAAUAGCUAACUCAGAACUGGUACGGACAAGGGGAAUCCGACUGUUUAAUUAAAACAAAGCAUUGUGAUGGUGUGAAAGAUAUGUUGACACAAUGUGAAUUCUGCCCAGUGCUCUGAAUGUGAAAGUGGCGUAAUUCAAGCAAGCGCGGGUAAACGGCGGGAGUAACUAUGACUCUCUUAAGGUAGCCAAAUGCCUCGUCAUCUAAUUAGUGACGCGCAUGAAUGGAUUAA